CUUCAGGCUGGUUAUAUCGUUGAUUAAAAGGCAAGAUAUUUUUGUGUCAAAUAAUUUUUGGUUUUUCUCGAAGAAAUUUAUUUUUUGAAUUGACAAUUUCGCUGUGGGUCGGACUGCGUAUAAUAAAUUGGAAGCUAUUAUAUAUUCUGGGAGGAAUUGGGAACGUUUAUCUCUAAUUCCUCCCAAGGAUUUUUUAUUUAAAGUUAUUUUUUCCGCGAGAGAGAUAAAAGGGAAUAGCAUGUCCAAAACACCACCAGUCUGACCUUUGGCGGCCACAAAACGAUAAUCUACCAUUCCAAGCUCUUGUCAAGAUUAUGGCAUAAAUAGAGCAAUAUAAAGAAAAUGUUGACAUACAUAUAUAAAUUCAUGACGUUUCUUAAGAGGACCCAAAACAAAAAGGACAAUAUUAUCAUUGAGAGCGUAUCGUCAGAAGGGCGUCAUGGUUACCUUCUCAAUCAAUUGCUAGGAUACGAAGAAUAACCGCAAUAUAUACACUAGUCUACAAUUUGUUUCACCAAAUACUUAUUCUGUCAAGAGUGAAUAUUUUACUUUGAUUUUGUUAAGCACCAGAAUCCAGCAAAGACAAGACAGGCCUGCGGUCAACAAUGGACAUAAUGUUCUGACACUCAUCAACAAACCAAACCAAGUGCGGGACAUAACAACAAAAGGAAGUGCGGUUCAUUUCUCUACAAUCUACAAACCAAGUGCGGGUCACGAAACAAAAAGUAAAGAAGUUCGAGACACAUCCACAGAAACAACAAGUGCCAUCAAAACCUAUCAACAUUGAACUUAUAACUAAAAUAGCUUAUGCCAACUAAUAACUACCAUUGCUUCUUCCCCGCUUUUGAAAUGAAAAUAAAACUAUUUCCAAAACCUCUUGAAAUUA